AGCUUGCUCUUCUUGGAUGAGUUGCGAACGGGUGAGUAACGCGUAGGUAACCUGCCUUGUAGCGGGGGAUAACUAUUGGAAACGAUAGCUAAUACCGCAUAACAAUGGGUGACUCAUGUCAUUUAUUUGAAAGGGGCAAAUGCUCCACUACAAGAUGGACCUGCGUUGUAUUAGCUAGUAGGUGAGGUAACGGCUCACCUAGGCGACGAUACAUAGCCGACCUGAGAGGGUGAUCGGCCACACUGGGACUGAGACACGGCCCAGACUCCUACGGGAGGCAGCAGUAGGGAAUCUUCGGCAACGGGGGCAACCCUGACCGAGCAACGCCGCGUGAGUGAAGAAGGUUUUCGGAUCGUAAAGCUCUGUUGUAAGUCAAGAACGAGUGUGAGAGUGGAAAGUUCACACUGUGACGGUAGCUUACCAGAAAGGGACGGCUAACUACGUGCCAGCAGCCGCGGUAAUACGUAGGUCCCGAGCGUUGUCCGGAUUUAUUGGGCGUAAAGCGAGCGCAGGCGGUUUGAUAAGUCUGAAGUUAAAGGCUGUGGCUCAACCAUAGUUCGCUUUGGAAACUGUCAAACUUGAGUGCAGAAGGGGAGAGUGGAAUUCCAUGUGUAGCGGUGAAAUGCGUAGAUAUAUGGAGGAAC
rnacentral:rRNA from 1 species